GUGGGUUAAGUCCCGCACGAGCGCAACCCUCGUCGUAUGUUGCCAGCAUUAAGUUGGGGACUCAUACGAGACUGCCGGGGUCAACUCGGAGGAAGGUGGGGAUGACGUCAAGUCAUCAUGCCCCUUAUGCCUAGGGCUGCACGCAUGCUACAAUGGCUGGUACAAAGGGCUGCAAUACCGUGAGGUGGAGCGAAUCCCAAAAAGCCAGUCUCAGUUCGGAUUGGGGUCUGCAACUCGACCCCAUGAAGUCGGAGUCGCUAGUAAUCGCAGAUCAGCAACGCUGCGGUGAAUACGUUCCCGGGCCUUGUACACA
rnacentral:rRNA from 1 species